rnacentral:rRNA from 1 species
UGCAGUCGAACGGCAGCGCGGGAGCAAUCCUGGCGGCGAGUGGCGAACGGGUGAGUAAUACAUCGGAACGUGCCCAAUCGUGGGGGAUAACGCAGCGAAAGCUGUGCUAAUACCGCAUACGAUCUACGGAUGAAAGCAGGGGAUCGCAAGACCUUGCGCGAAUGGAGCGGCCGAUGGCAGAUUAGGUAGUUGGUGAGGUAAAGGCUCACCAAGCCUUCGAUCUGUAGCUGGUCUGAGAGGACGACCAGCCACACUGGGACUGAGACACGGCCCAGACUCCUACGGGAGGCAGCAGUGGGGAAUUUUGGACAAUGGGCGAAAGCCUGAUCCAGCCAUGCCGCGUGCAGGAUGAAGGCCUUCGGGUUGUAAACUGCUUUUGUACGGAACGAAACGGCCUUUUCUAAUAAAGAGGGCUAAUGACGGUACCGUAAGAAUAAGCACCGGCUAACUACGUGCCAGCAGCCGCGGUAAUACGUAGGGUGCAAGCGUUAAUCGGAAUUACUGGGCGUAAAGCGUGCGCAGGCGGUUAUGUAAGACAGUUGUGAAAUCCCCGGGCUCAACCUGGGAACUGCAUCUGUGACUGCAUAGCUAGAGUACGGUAGAGGGGGAUGGAAUUCCGCGUGUAGCAGUGAAAUGCGUAGAUAUGCGGAGGAACACCGAUGGCGAAGGCAAUCCCCUGGACCUGUACUGACGCUCAUGCACGAAAGCGUGGGGAGCAAACAGGAUUAGAUACCCUGGUAGUCCACGCCCUAAACGAUGUCAACUGGGUUGUUGGGUCUUCACUGACUCAGUAACGAAGCUAACGCCGUGAAGUUGACCGCCUGGGGGAGUACGGGCCGCAAGGGUUGAAACUCAAAAGGAAUUUGACGGGGGACCCGCACAAAGCGGUGGGAUGGAUGUGGGUUUAAAUUCCGAUGCAACGGCGAAAAAACCUUUACCCCACCUUUUGACAU